rnacentral:rRNA from 1 species
UUUCGCAAUGCCCGAAAGGGUGACGAAGCGACGCCGCGUGUGGGAAGAAGGCCUUCGGGUUGUAAACCACUGUCGGGAGUUAAGAAAUACCAGGAUAUUAAUAGUGUCUUUGUUUGACUAAGGCUCCGGAGGAAGCCACGGCUAACUCUGUGCCAGCAGCCGCGGUAAUACAGAGGCGGCAAGCGUUGUUCGGAAUUAUUGGGCGUAAAGAGCACGUAGGCGGCUAUGUAAGUCGGUUGUGAAAGCCUUCCGCUCAACGGAAGAACAGCAUCCGAUACUACAUGGCUUGAGUGCGGGAGGGGAGAGUGGAACUUCUGGUGGAGCGGUGAAAUGCGUAGAUAUCAGAAGGAACGCCGGCGGCGAAAGCGGCUCUCUGGCCCAUAACUGACGCUGAGUGUGCGAAGGCUAGGGGAGCAAACGGGAUUAGAUACCCCGGUAGUCCUAGCCGUAAACGAUGGGCACUAAGUAGAGGGGUUUU